AAAUUGAAGAGUUUGAUCAUGGCUCAGAUUGAACGCUGGCGGCAGGCCUAACACAUGCAAGUCGAGCGGUAGCACAGAGAGCUUGCUCUCGGGUGACGAGCGGCGGACGGGUGAGUAAUGUCUGGGAAACUGCCUGAUGGAGGGGGAUAACUACUGGAAACGGUAGCUAAUACCGCAUAAUGUCGCAAGACCAAAGUGGGGGACCUUCGGGCCUCAUGCCAUCAGAUGUGCCCAGAUGGGAUUAGCUAGUAGGUGGGGUAACGGCUCACCUAGGCGACGAUCCCUAGCUGGUCUGAGAGGAUGACCAGCCACACUGGAACUGAGACACGGUCCAGACUCCUACGGGAGGCAGCAGUGGGGAAUAUUGCACAAUGGGCGCAAGCCUGAUGCAGCCAUGCCGCGUGUGUGAAGAAGGCCUUCGGGUUGUAAAGCACUUUCAGCGGGGAGGAAGGCGUUAAGGUUAAUAACCUUGGCGAUUGACGUUACCCGCAGAAGAAGCACCGGCUAACUCCGUGCCAGCAGCCGCGGUAAUACGGAGGGUGCAAGCGUUAAUCGGAAUUACUGGGCGUAAAGCGCACGCAGGCGGUCUGUCAAGUCGGAUGUGAAAUCCCCGGGCUUAACCUGGGAACUGCAUUCGAAACUGGCAGGCUAGAGUCUUGUAGAGGGGGGUAGAAUUCCAGGUGUAGCGGUGAAAUGCGUAGAGAUCUGGAG
rnacentral:rRNA from 1 species